rnacentral:rRNA from 1 species
UGCCAGACUCCUACGGGAGGCAGCAGUGGGGAAUAUUGCACAAUGGGGGAAACCCUGAUGCAGCGACGCCGCGUGAGCGAUGAAGUAUUUCGGUAUGUAAAGCUCUAUCAGCAGGGAAGAAGAUGACGGUACCUGACUAAGAAGCCCCGGCUAACUACGUGCCAGCAGCCGCGGUAAUACGUAGGGGGCAAGCGUUAUCCGGAUUUACUGGGUGUAAAGGGAGCGUAGACGGCGAUGCAAGCCAGAUGUGAAAGCCCGGGGCUCAACCCCGGGACUGCAUUUGGAACUGUGUGGCUGGAGUGUCGGAGAGGCAGGCGGAAUUCCUAGUGUAGCGGUGAAAUGCGUAGAUAUUAGGAGGAACACCAGUGGCGAAGGCGGCCUGCUGGACGAUGACUGACGUUGAGGCUCGAAAGCGUGGGGAGCAAACAGGAUUAGAUACCCUUGUAUA